GACGAACGCUGGCGGCGUGCUUAACACAUGCAAGUCGAACGGAAAGGCCCUGCUUUUGUGGGGUGCUCGAGUGGCGAACGGGUGAGUAACACGUGAGUAACCUGCCCUUGACUUUGGGAUAACUUCAGGAAACUGGGGCUAAUACCGGAUAGGAGCUCCUGCUGCAUGGUGGGGGUUGGAAAGUUUCGGCGGUUGGGGAUGGACUCGCGGCUUAUCAGCUUGUUGGUGGGGUAGUGGCUUACCAAGGCUUUGACGGGUAGCCGGCCUGAGAGGGUGACCGGCCAAAUUGGGACUGAGAUACGGCCCAGACUCCUACGGGAGGCAGCAGUGGGGAAGAUUGCACAAUGGGCGGAAGCCUGAUGCAGCACCGCCGCGUGCGGGAUGACGGCCUUCGGGUUGUAAACCGCUUUCGCCUGUGACGAAGCGUGAGUGACGGUAAUGGGUAAAGAAGCACCGGCUAACUACGUG
rnacentral:rRNA from 1 species